rnacentral:rRNA from 1 species
UAGGGAAUCUUCCGCAAUGGGCGAAAGCCUGACGGAGCAACGCCGCGUGAGUGAUGAAGGUCUUCGGAUCGUAAAACUCUGUUAUUAGGGAAGAACAUAUGUGUAAGUAACUGUGCACAUCUUGACGGUACCUAAUCAGAAAGCCACGGCUAACUACGUGCCAGCAGCCGCGGUAAUACGUAGGUGGCAAGCGUUAUCCGGAAUUAUUGGGCGUAAAGCGCGCGUAGGCGGUUUUUUAAGUCUGAUGUGAAAGCCCACGGCUCAACCGUGGAGGGUCAUUGGAAACUGGAAAACUUGAGUGCAGUAGAGGAAAGUGGAAUUCCAUGUGUAGCGGUGAAAUGCGCAGAGAUAUGGAGGAACACCAGUGGCGAAGGCGACUUUCUGGUCUGUAACUGACGCUGAUGUGCGAAAGCGUGGGGAUCAAACA